rnacentral:misc_RNA from 1 species
GAUGAAGAACGUAGCGAAAUGCGAUAAGUAGUGUGAAUUGCAGAAUUCAGUGAAUCAUCGAAUCUUUGAACGCACAUUGCGCCCCUUGGUAUCCCGAGGGGCAUGCCUGUUCGAGCGUCAUUUCACCACUCAAGCCUGGCUUGGUGUUGGGCGACGUCCCCUUUGGGGACGCGCCUCGAAACGCUCGGCGGCGUGGCACCGGCUUUAAGCGUAGCAGAAUCUUUCGCUUUGGAAGUCGGGGCCCCGUCUGCCGGAAGACCUACUCUCAAGGUUGACCUCGGAUCAGGCAGGGAUACCCGCUGAACUUAAGCAUAUCAAUAAGCGGAGGA